rnacentral:rRNA from 1 species
CCUACGGGAGGCAGCAGUGAGGAAUAUUGGUCAAUGGUCGGGAGACUGAACCAGCCAAGCCGCGUGAGGGAUGAAGGUACAGAGUAUCGUAAACCUCUUUUGUCAGGGAACAAAGGCGGGGACGUGUCCCCGGAUGAGUGUACCUGAAGAAAAAGCAUCGGCUAACUCCGUGCCAGCAGCCGCGGUAAUCCGGAGGAUGCGAGCGUUAUCCGGAUUUAUGGGGGUUAAAGGGUGCGCAGGCGGUCUGUUAAGUCAGCGGUCAAAGCCCGGGGCUCAACCCCGGCCCGCCGUUGAAACUGGCAGUCUCGAGUUGGAGAGAAGUAUGCGGAAUGCGCGGUGUAGCGGUGAAAUGCAUAGAUAUCGCGCAGAACUCCGAUUGCGAAGGCAGCAUGCCGGCUCCACACUGACGCUGAGGCACGAAAGCGUGGGUAUCGAACAGGAUUAGAUACCCCUGUAGUC